rnacentral:lncRNA from 1 species
CUCAGAAUGCCAUAAAGUUUAGGUGAGUUGGCUCUGUGACCAGGCUGUCUCUGUAUGAAUUUGUCCUUUGCCACUUGACCUUGGAAAAUUGUUUAUUCUCUAUGUGCCUCUGUAUGCCAAGUUAUAUAUAUAUAAAUUAAAAUCAAUAAUACUUCACAGGGUUGUCAAGAGGGCUACUAUGGAGAAUGUGCAUAAAAAUGCAUUGCUUUAAUGUCAUCAAAAUGAAUAUUAAGAUACUUAAAAUUAUAUGAAAUUCUUCAAAAAAAGGCUAUUCAUUGAAGCUUUUUUUUAAAAAAAAAAUUUGCCUGUUGUUGCAAGUUAGAUAGGUAAGAGAAACUGCAAAGAAAUACUAUUUGGGGUAUGAAAUUGAAUUAGAUAAUCCUAUAAAAUAUAAGAUCUCAUUGACUAUAUCAUUUCCUAUAAUAGGUUAAAAACUGACUUAGUACAAAGAAAUAAAAGAGGAAAAUAUUCACACAGUCAAAAAUUUAAUUCACCUCAAUUUUUCUUUGACAAAGCAAAUGUCUUUUGUUGUGCACUUCCUCAAUUAUGCACUAACACAAUAAGAUUUAACAUAAUUGUCUAUUGUUUAAAAGUAAUUUUUCAAUUAACUCUACACAAAGAAUGUGUUCCAAAAUUAGUAAUGUAAGUUGACUCAAAUUUUUCUUUUAUAAUACACUCCAGUUAUAAUUUAUGGUAAAAUUAUAUUGGAAAGAGCCCCAAGUAUUGGCGUUACUGUUUCCACGGUUACAGGCUAUAACACAAGAUAUUCUCUCUUUGAAUUCAUGCUUUCACAUUUCAUUUCAGUUUUCAAUCUUCUUCCUUUUAAAAGGCUCUGUGUGCUUUCUCCAAGUUAGGCUGCAAAAUGGAGAUGACGGAAAAGAAAUCCCACAUUUCUACGAUAAACGCAGAAGAUGGUUGAAAGUGGCUUACAAUAGCUGCACACCCAGGUUUGGGGGAUGGUUGAGAUUGGAUCUGAUAUAUAAUCAAUCAAGAGAAAGACAAUGAAGUCUAGGAUAGCUGACUUACAGACCCAUUGUCAGUAAAUUCUUCUAUAUUAGUUAUCUAUUGCUCCAUAACUACUCUGUUUUUAAUGGUUUAAUACAACACAUAUUUAUUAUCUCCAAGUUUUCGAGUCAGAAAUCUGGGCAUAAUUUAUCUGGUUCAUCUGCUUUAUUAUCUUUUAUGAGGCUGUAAACAACAUGCAGCCCAGUGUCUGUGGUCCCAUCUGAAGGCUCAGUUGGAGAACAUAGGCUUCCAAGCACAUUCAGGUAGUAGCUGACAUGAGUUCCUCAAGGGCUGUUGGACAAGUCUCAGUCCUUGAUGGCAACUAGCUAGAGAUCUCACUCAGUUUCUUUCCAUGUGUACCUCUCCCUCAUGAUGUUUUGUUCAUCAAGGUGACAAGUGAAAAUUGCAAAUGGACAGUCUACCAUCAAGAAAGAAUUAUAACCCUUUGUAACCCAAUUAUGUAAGUGACAUCUUAUCACCUGUGUGUAUUCUUUUGGUUACAAACUAGUCACUAGGUUCAGUCCACACUCAAAUGGAAGGAUUCCACAAGGGGUGUUACUACCACAAGGAAGGUAUCAUUGGAGGUGGUCUUAGAUGUCUGCCUAUGCAACUUCCAUCACAUAAUUACAUUGCCAUUGCUGUCUUUCAUGGAUGAAAAACAACUGGUCACUUACCACUAGUUCAUUUACUUUAACCUCUGUCCCCUUAAUGCAAAAAUUGAGAAGGAAGUAUAUACCAUUAAAAUGUCUAUCUAUACAUUUAAACUCAGAGGCAGUGAUUUAACAAAUAUCAUUCCAGUCCCACAUCUGAACAGUCUUUGUCCUACCGAUGCCCUCAGACACAUUUCACUUUGUUUUAUUUUUCUCCUGCUUUGUUCAAAAGGAAGCUUAUCUAUGUGAAAGUGAUAUUCUUUGUUUUAGAGUCAUAAUACAUACAGCUUGCUGCCUAGGUAGCUAAUGAGGACCUGGCUUCUUCUAGAACAGAGCACUUUGAUAACACAGCAUCCUUAAAUUACAUGGAACCAGCAUUUAGCAACAGGGAACACAAUGUUUCUCAGUGAGAUCCAGAGAUUCCAUAUGUCAAAUGGCUCUCCCUAUGUUUGAUUAGAAAUGCUGAUCUCGUCUUCUAGAUUGGUAAACUCUGACGAGACUUGUGAAGUAAGAUACAUCUGGAUUAAAUCUGGGUCAACCAUUUUUAGCUUUGUGACCAUCAGUGAAUAUUCUAGUCUCAAAAGUCUCCCAAUGUCCAAAUUUGGAAAAAGAAUCUUAUUUUCCUUUUUAAUAAGAUUUUUAUUGGAUGUUGUAACUUAAAUAAUGUGCUUAUUAGCAUGUUAUGUAAUCAUGUAAUCAUCUUUACUUUCUUGACUUGCUUGUGCCAUAUAUAUAUAUAAUUUGUCCUAAACAUUAGUUGCUAUUUUUUUUUCAUAAUCAUGUUGGCAGUGAUUAUUAUUCAACGAUGCAUCUCAGAUUGCCUUUUUUGUUUGCUUCCCUAACAGCUCAGGGUCAACAUCUGGUCAAUUAUUACAUUUGUCACAACCUGUUUAGUAUUAUUCCGUAUAAAUUUAUUGAGCAUUUACUAUAUGCUAAGUGUUAUCCUAUCUUCUUAGAUACACACAUAAAUAAGUUACAACUCCUGCUCUGACCACCACCUGCAGAUAUCAGUAGGCUGCAGAUAUCAGCAGGCUGCAGAUAUCAGCAGGCACCUAUCUCUGGGGCCAAUCCUGGCCUUAGAAAGCAUGUGAGAAGAUCUUCGAAUUACUCAUAAACUCGGCAUCAGAUUGAUUCGCCUUCUACCCUAAGUUUAUGUAAUAUUUCCUGGUCAAAAUUCUUACUUUUAUGUAUCUAUUUUUUCAUAAGCUAUUUUUAUGACACUCAACGUAUUAAGACAAGUACAAAAUAACCUCAUAAUUAGGAUGCUGUUAUCAGUUGUUUAAAAAGGAGUAAACACUACAGUGUGAAGAGAUUUAGAAAUGACUAAAAUAUAAAAGCUGUGACAGAAUUAAUGGACAACUUGAAAUGGGGUUGUUUUUUGCUUUUAGAAAUGCAAAUUUUCUUAACAAAAAAGGACAAAUAAAAUAUAAUGCUCUAAAUAUGCAUAACCAUGAAAAUAUUAAAGAAAAGCAGUCUUAUAACCACUUAUACUAUUAGCAUAACAGACUCCAUUGCUAUAUUUAACAUCCUUUGCAGAGACAUGCCUACACCCUUUCCUGGCUUUAAAGAACAAUUUCCUCUAAGAAAUACUAGUGCAGCAUAACUGCUAAAUAAUUUCUUUUAUUUUUAAAGUUACAACCUACAGAAGCAAUGUAAUUCCUGUCUUUUCUAUGCCUAUUUCUGAGUUAUUAUAUUCCCACACUCUGGUUCAUAGUUUUGUAAAUUCCUUCCCCAUACCACAAAUUUGACUUGCUAUCAGCUAACUGACCUCGUUGAAACCCACAAUCCUUCUGAAACUAUUAAUACUUCCUGAAUGUUUUCCCAGCUCUCUUAUUGCAGAAGAUAAUUCAGCCGAGUAGUAAAAUAGAUCCAGGAGUUUCCUUAUGAAAUCCUAAUACUCGCUUAAAAUUUCUGGCUAAAGUCCAAAUGCGUCAACUCCCACAUGUUUUACCAAGGGGUGUAUGGAAAGUUUAUGUAACACCAAUAAAUACGGUUAACAUUUAUCUUUGAUGCUAUCAUUUCCCAGGAUAAAUAUCAUUUGCUAGAUAUAUUAUACAGUUUUCAAGCUGACCCUGAAGAGUUCUGGCUCCAAUACAUAGAGAUUUUUACGGUGGCAGGUUGUGGGGUAUAUUAAAAAGAUAUAAUAAUAUAA